CCUACGGGAGGCUGCAGUGGGGAAUAUUGCACAAUGGGGGAAACCCUGAUGCAGCGACGCCGCGUGAGUGAAGAAGGAAUUCGGUAUGGAAAGCUCUAUCAGCAGGGAAGAAAAUGACGGUACCUGAGUAAGAAGCCACGAUUAACUACGUGCCAGCAGCCGCGGGAAGACGUAGGGGGCAAGCGUUAUCCGGAUUUACUGGGGGUAAAGGGAGGGGAGGCGGGGAAGCAAGUAAGAUGUGAAAACCACGGGCUCAACCUGUGGCCUGCCUGUGAAACUGUUUUUCUUGAGUGCUGGAGAGUCAAUCGGACUUCCGUGUGUAGCCGUGAAAUGCGUAGAUAUCCG
rnacentral:rRNA from 1 species